GCCAGUUUGGCUCAGUGGAUAGAGCGUCAGCCUACGAACUGAAGGGUCCCGGUUCGAUUCCAGUCAAUGGCA
rnacentral:tRNA from 1 species